AACGAACGCUGGCGGCAUGCCUAAUACAUGCAAGUCGAACGAGCCCUUCGGGUCCUUUCGCCCACGGGUUCGUAACGCGAGGGAACCUUCCCUUAUGGUCGGAAUAACUCUCCGAAAGGGGUGCUAAUACCGGAUAAUGUCUUCGGACCAAAGAUUUAUCGCCUUUGGAUGGGCCCGCGUUGGAUUAGCUAGUUGGUAGGGUAAAAGCAUACCAAGGCGACGAUCCAUAGCUGGUCUGAGAGGAUGAUCAGCCACACUGGGACUGAGACACGGCCCAGACUCCUACGGGAGGCAGCAGUGGGGAAUAUUGGACAAUGGGCGAAAGCCUGAUCCAGCAAUGCCGCGUGAGUGAUGAAGGCCUUAGGGUUGUAAAGCUCUUUUACCCGGGAUGAUAAUGACAGUACCGGGAGAAUAAGCUCCGGCUAACUACGUG
rnacentral:rRNA from 1 species